UACAGAGGGUGCGAGCGUUAAUCGGAAUUACUGGGCGUAAAGCGUGCGUAGACGGUUACGCAAGUCGGGUGUGAAAGCCCCGGGCUCAACCUGGGAAUUGCAUUCGAGACUGCGCAGCUAGGGUGCGGAAGAGGGAAGCGGAAUUUCCGGUGUAGCGGUGAAAUGCGUAGAUAUCGGAAGGAACAUCAGUGGCGAAAGCGGCUUCCUGGUCCAGCACCGACGUUCAGGCACGAAAGCGUGGGGAGCAAACAGG
rnacentral:rRNA from 1 species